GAUGAACGCUGGCGGCGUGCUUAACACAUGCAAGUCGAACGAUGAAGCCCAGCUUGCUGGGUGGAUUAGUGGCGAACGGGUGAGUAACACGUGAGUAACCUGCCCUUGACUCUGGGAUAAGCCUGGGAAACUGGGUCUAAUACUGGAUAUGACUUCUCAUCGCAUGGUGGGGGGUGGAAAGAUUUAUUGGUCUUGGAUGGACUCGCGGCCUAUCAGCUUGUUGGUGAGGUAAUGGCUCACCAAGGCGACGACGGGUAGCCGGCCUGAGAGGGUGACCGGCCACACUGGGACUGAGACACGGCCCAGACUCCUACGGGAGGCAGCAGUGGGGAAUAUUGCACAAUGGGCGCAAGCCUGAUGCAGCGUCGCCGCGUGAGGGAUGACGGCCUUCGGGUUGUAAACCUCUUUCAGUAGGGAAGAAGCGAGAGUGACGGUACCUGCAGAAGAAGCGCCGGCUAACUACGUG
rnacentral:rRNA from 1 species